rnacentral:lncRNA from 1 species
CUGUUUUUGGCUGAGAUGGACUAGCUGUGGAGAACUGCUAUUUCUUGGCCAGCCUGCUGCCUACUGCUCCCAGCUGCCUUUGGACAGGAUAGUGCUGAGCUAGUGGUUUGCUGGGAUGGAGCCUGAGUCAAACACAAAUGUAGGCAAAACCAUGAACAGAUGGCAGCAGGACAUGGUCUCUGGUCUCAGCCUUAGCCCUACGAUGUGAUGGUGGCAUGGAGCAUCCACAAUCUAUUGGGUCUUUGUUGGGUUACUGAGAAAUCAUCAGGAAGCAGAUGGCAUGUCUUGGCUGAGUGGCUUCUUGGGCAUCUUAUUUUAACAACUACUUCAGCAUACCUGGCAGCAGAGUCAGAUGUAAAACACACAGCCUAAACAUGAGCUGCGAUAAAUCAAGUGCAAUGAAUUCCCAGUCACUGCAAGAUUAACAGUAAUCCAGAGCACAGGAGUUUUGUUUGCCCUGUACGGGAAAAUACCUUCAUCUUGUCUGAAGUUAAGGUACUUAUCUGCAAAAUCCUUAGAUCAUUUGCUCCUUCUUUGAUUAUUUAGCAUUAAAAUGAUGUUGUGUUUUUUGUUUUUGUUGUUGUUGUUGUUGUUUGUUUGCAUGUUUGUUUUAUUUUGUUUUGUUCUGUUUUGGUUUGGUUUGAUUAGCAGCCUAAGAAUGACAAAACUAGUGCCAGAAAAUAACAAAAACUUUUCACCUGUCAAGUCAGUUUAAAUCAACAAGAAUAUUUUUUAAUAACUCUUGACUCAUGAGGUAAAAAUUGUAUAGGAGGACAGUGUCACUUGCCUUUUGUUACUUAAAUUAUGACUCUAUUACCAGACUGUCUUUGGGAUUUCUCAUUCUGCAGAACUACUUUGUGGAGGACUACUUUGACAGUCAUUCAGAGCUUUCAGUAGAAAUUACCAAGUUGGUCCAAAUAGUAAUUUAGGCACAGGGAUGGGAUACUAGCCACACUUUUAUAUCGAGGUUGAUUGAAAAAAAAAAAAAAGGAAAGUUUAUUGUAGUGGCUUCUGGAAUCCCUGUAGAUUUAACUUCUCUGUUUACUUUUUUUUUUUUUUUUUUUUUUUUUUAGUACACUUGAAGCUCCAAGGAUGCCUAGAUGUCCACACACAGUGGCAUCAUGGCAUCAUCAGCACAUAGGAAGAAGGACAGCAAGGGCUGACUCAGCAGGCUUGCUGGGCUUGGAGCUUUGUUUUCUACAGGAACUCCGAGAAACUCCAUGGAAGCCAAUCCCCUGCUGUUUCUGAAAAUAACAAUGGAUGUUCACUUGCUGCUUCACGUAUUAAGAGGGAGAAAAAAAAAAGUCCCGAGAACACUUGCCUACCAUCAUACACUAAAUGUGUGACAUAGCCAGGAGCUGAGCUCCAUUUUUUUAAACAGACAAGUGCCUGCAGCACAAAGCAUUCAUUCUCAUUCUGUUGGUCUGAAAGAAAAAUUAUUCUGGAUAUAGCCUAAUCUAAUAGGGAUCUGGCUACUACAGCAGUCUUUAAGGGUCAUUAUUCUUUAAACAGUCAUUAGAAAAGCAAGAUGCCUAUAUGGGCAGUAUGUACCAAAAUAACAUCUGAAAGCAAAUAGCCAAAAUACUGUUGUCAGAGGUAAACAAAGCUACGGAACUCUGUAACUCCAGAAAAUAAAAGAAAAUAUAUAAUUUUAAAGAGGUAUUUA